GAGUGUGCAUGGAUUUGUUUCAUUUGAUUGCCCAAUUGUGUGCAUAUACAUUCAACCUUGAGUUCACACUUGUAUGUAAAAAAAAUGAUGUGUUUUGUUGUUAGUCUAAUGUGUUCAAUGAUUACAUUUAUCAGCACUAAAUAUGAUUGCUUCAAUUCUGUUUACAUAUUGUAUUAAUUGCAGAUAAGAUUUAAUAAUACUUAUGUCAAUUUGAGUGCUAAAAAUAAUUUAAAAAAAUGUAGGAUUAAGUAUUGAAACUUUUCAGGAAGUUAGAAGAAAUGGUCUUCUAAGUGGUACUUUUUAAAUGGGGUCUUAAGUGUGAUAGCAAAAUUUCUUGGUUGAAAAUUCCCCAAAAUUUUGACUUUUUUUUGGAGUAGGUCCUUGAAACUUUCCAGACUAUUAUAAUUAAUGGUUUCCUUACUGGUAGUUUUUAAAUAAACUCUCUAAGUGCCAUAGAACAGAAAUGGUCCCCCCAAAAGCAAUGUUUUUCGCAUGAAAAAAACCAAAAUUGGCCAAAAUUUUAGCUUUUUUUUGAAGUAGAUCCUUGAAACUUUCCAGAUUAUUAUAAUUAAUGAUUUCCUUACUGGUAGUUUUUAAAUGAACUCUCUAAGUGCCAUAGAACAGAAAUGGUCUUCCCAAAAGCAAAGUUUUUCGCAUGAAAAAAACCAAAAUUGGCUAAAAUUUUGACUUUUUUUUGGAGUAGAUCCUUGAAACUUUCCAGAUUGUUAUAAUUAAUGAUUUCCUUACUGGUAGUUUUUAAAUCAACUCUCGAAGUGCCAUAGAACACAAAUGGUCCCCCAAAAGCAACGUUUUUUGCAUGAAAAAAACCAAAAUUGGCUAAAAUUUUGACUUUUUUUUGGAGUAGAUCCUUGAAACUUUCCAGAUUGUUAUAAUUAAUGAUUUCCUUACUGGUAGUUUUUAAAUCAACUCUCUAAGUGCCAUAGAACACAAAUGGUCCCCCAAAAGCAAAGUUUCCCGCAUGUAAAAAACCAAAAUUGGCCAAAAUUUUGACUUUUUUUUAGAUUAGGUCCUUGAAACUUUCCAGAUUAUUAUAAUUAAUGAUUUCCUUACUGGUAGUUUUUAAAUGAACUCUCUAAGUGCCAUAGAACAGAAAUGGUCCCCCCAAAAGCAAAGUUUUUCGCAUGAAAAAAACCAAAAUUGGCUAAAAUGUUGACUUUUUUUUGGAGUAGAUCCUUGAAACUUUCCAGAUUGUUAUAAUUAAUGAUUUCCUUACUGGUAGUUUUUAAAUCAACUCUCUAAGUGCCAUAGAACACAAAUGGUCCCCCAAAAGCAAAGUUUUUCGCAUGAAAAAAACCAAAAUUGGCUAAAAUUUUGACUUUUUUUUGGAGUAGAUCCUUGAAACUUUCCAGAUUGUUAUAAUUAAUGAUUUCCUUACUGGUAGUUUUUAAAUCAACUCUCUAAGUACCAGAGAACAGAAACUGCCCCCUAAAAGCAAAGUUUUUUGCAUGAAAAAAACCAAAAUUGGCCAAAAUUUUGACUUUUUUUUGGAGUAGUUCCUUGAAACUUUCCAGAUUAUUAUAAUUAAUGGUUUCCUUACUGGUAGUUUUUAAAUCAACUCUCUAAGUACCAUAGAACAGAAAUGGUCCCCCAAAAGCAAAGUUUUUUGCAUUAAAAAAACCAAAAUUGGCCAAAAUUUUGACUUUUUUUUGGAGUAGGUCCUUGAAACUUUCCAGAUUAUUAUAAUUAAUGAUUUCCUUACUGGUAGUUUUUAAAUCAACUCUCUAAGUACCAUAGAACAGAAAUGGUCCCCCAAAAGCAAAGUUUUUUGCAUUAAAAAAACCAAAAUUGGCCAAAAUUUUGACUUUUUUUUGGAGUAGGUCCUUGAAACUUUCCAGACUAUUAUAAUUAAUGGUUUCCUUACUGGUAGUUUUUAAAUCAACUCUCUAAGUACAGUAGAACAGAAAUUUUCCCUCAAAAGCAAACAUUUUAGCAUGAAAAAAACCAAAAUUGGCCAAAAUUUUGACUUUUUUUUGGAGUAGUUCCUUGAAACUUUCCAGAUUAUUAUAAUUAAUGGUUUCCUUACUGGUAGUUUUUAAAUGAACUCUCUAAGUGCCAUAGAACAGAAAUGGUCCCCCCAAAAGCAAAGUUUUUCGCAUGAAAAAAACCAAAAUUGGCUAAAAUGUUGACUUUUUUUUGGAGUAGAUCCUUGAAACUUUCCAGAUUGUUAUAAUUAAUGAUUUCCUUACUGGUAGUUUUUAAAUCAACUCUCUAAGUGCCAUAGAACACAAAUGGUCCCCCAAAAGCAAAGUUUUUCGCAUGAAAAAAACCAAAAUUGGCUAAAAUUUUGACUUUUUUUUGGAGUAGAUCCUUGAAACUUUCCAGAUUGUUAUAAUUAAUGAUUUCCUUACUGGUAGUUUUUAAAUCAACUCUCUAAGUACCAUAGAAGAAAAAUGGUCCCCCAAAAGCAAAGUUUUUCACAUGUAAAAAAACAAAUUUGGCCAAAAUUUUGACUUUUUUUUGCAGUAGGUCCUUGAAACUUUCCAGACUAUUAUAAUUAAUGGUUUCCUUACUGGUAGUUUUUAAAUAAACUCUCUAAGUGCCAUAGAACAGAAAUGGUCCCCCAAAAGCAAAGUUUUUCGCAUGAAAAAAACCAAAAUUGGCUAAAAUGUUGACUUUUUUUUGGAGUAGAUCCUUGAAACUUUCCAGAUUGUUAUAAUUAAUGGUUUCCUUACUGGUAGUUUUUAAAUAAACUCUCUAAGUGCCAUAGAACAGAAAUGGUCCCCCAAAAGCAAAGUUUUUUGCAUGAAAAAAACCAAAAUUGGCCAAAAUUUUGACUUUUUUUUGGAGUAGAUCCUUGAAACUUUCCAGAUUGUUAUAAUUAAUGGUUUCCUUACUGGUAGUUUUUAAAUCAACUCUCUAAGUAUUAUAGAACAGAAAUGGUCCCCCAAAAGCAAAGUUUUUUGCAUGAAAAAACCCAAAAUGGGCCAAGAUUUUCACUUUUUUUUGGAGUAGGUCCUUGAAACUUUCCAGAUUAUUAUAAUUAAUGAUUUCCUUACUGGUAUUUUUUAAAUCAACUCUCUAAGUACCAGAGAACAGAAACUGCCCCCUAAAAGCAAAGUUUUUUGCAUGAAAAAAACCAAAAUUGGCCAAAAUUUUGACUUUUUUUUGGAGUAGUUCCUUGAAACUUUCCAGAUUAUUAUAAUUAAUGGUUUCCUUACUGGUAGUUUUUAAAUCAACUCUCUAAGUACCAUAGAACAGAAAUGGUCCCCCAAAAGCAAAGUUUUUUGCAUUAAAAAAACCAAAAUUGGCCAAAAUUUUGACUUUUUUUUGGAGUAGGUCCUUGAAACUUUCCAGAUUAUUAUAAUUAAUGAUUUCCUUACUGGUAGUUUUUAAAUCAACUCUCUAAGUACCAUAGAACAGAAAUGGUCCCCCAAAAGCAAAGUUUUUUGCAUUAAAAAAACCAAAAUUGGCCAAAAUUUUGACUUUUUUUUGGAGUAGGUCCUUGAAACUUUCCAGACUAUUAUAAUUAAUGGUUUCCUUACUGGUAGUUUUUAAAUCAACUCUCUAAGUACAGUAGAACAGAAAUUUUCCCUCAAAAGCAAACAUUUUAGCAUGAAAAAAACCAAAAUUGGCCAAAAUUUUGACUUUUUUUUGGAGUAGUUCCUUGAAACUUUCCAGAUUAUUAUAAUUAAUGGUUUCCUUACUGGUAGUUUUUAAAUCAACUCUCUGAGUACCAUGGAACAGUAAUUGUCCCCUAAAAGCAAAUUUUUUCUAGUGGAAAUAACCAAAAUUCUUCCAAAUUUACCUUUUUUAUUUGAAUUUAACUUUAAAACAUUCCAACUUAUUAGAAAAAGUGAUUUUUUAAGCAGUACCUCUUAAAUGAGCCCUCUCGGUACCACACAAAUGAAUUAAGACCUAAAUAGCAGAAGUUUCCACUCAAAGGCCAUAAAAUACAUUACACAAACAGCUCUAACUCAAAAACUACUGUAGCCACAAAAAUCGUUCAUACACCAAAAUAUUUGUCCAGAAACGUUUCAUAACAUAAACCAUCAGCUUCCACUGAAACGUUUCGUAUGUCAAACCCAUCCUCAGGAACACCUUAUUCAUACCAUACACGCUUUUGUAUUGAGGUAUUCGCUUACAGAUCACUAAUGCAGCUUAUUUUUUAUGUAUUC